GUGUGACAUCAGCGGUCAUGGAGAGUCUCCAUCCAGCUGGAUCACUGUCACAGGUAGACCUACAACCACAACCUCACCCAUCACCUCUUCAAACAUGCCCCCAACCACAUCUUUGCCCUCUUACUCCACCACCCUGAGACUGGUCUGUCACCUGGUGGUGAUCUGUCCAUACUUCAUCUCCACUCUCCUCAUGGUGUCUUUAUAUCGACACAGAGCCAAAGGAAAUGACCCCGCCAUCUUCUUGGCAACAGAAACCAAUGCUCAGGAGAGACUCUGUGAGGACUAUGAUGAUAUUGCCGAGGUGACCACUGAGCAUCAGCUCUGAGCUUAUUCUCCAUCAGAUGGUGGUUAUCAUAAAAGUUAUCAUAAUACGAGUCUUUGUUUGUGUGAACUUUGUAAAUAAAGUUUUCUUUGUU